rnacentral:rRNA from 1 species
AUUGAACGCUGGCGGCAUGCCUUACACAUGCAAGUCGAACGGCAGCACGGGGCAACCUGGUGGCGAGUGGCGAACGGGUGAGUAAUGCAUCGGAACGUACCUUUCAGUGGGGGAUAACGUAGCGAAAGUUACGCUAAUACCGCAUAUUCUGUGAGCAGGAAAGCAGGGGAUCGCAAGAGCUUGCGCUGAUGGAGCGGCCGAUGUCAGAUUAGCUAGUUGGUGAGGUAAAGGCUCACCAAGGCGGCGAUCUGUAGCGGGUCUGAGAGGAUGAUCCGCCACACUGGAACUGAGACACGGUCCAGACUCCUACGGGAGGCAGCAGUGGGGAAUUUUGGACAAUGGGGGCAACCCUGAUCCAGCCAUGCCGCGUGAGUGAAGAAGGCCUUCGGGUUGUAAAGCUCUUUCGGCCGGGAAGAAAUCGCACGGGCUAAUACCCUGUGUGGAUGACGGUACCGGAAUAAGAAGCACCGGCUAACUACGUGCCAGCCGCCGCCGUAAAAC